GACGAACGCUGGCGGCGUGCCUAAUACAUGCAAGUAGAACGCACAGUUUAUACCGUAGCUUGCUACACCAUAAACUGUGAGUUGCGAACGGGUGAGUAACGCGUAGGUAACCUGCCUGGUAGCGGGGGUUACCAAUGGAAACGGUAGUCAAGUCCCCAACAUAAUUAUUUUUGCAUGGUAACUUAUUAGAAGGUGCAAUUUAAUUACCUCCAGGCGGACCUGCGUUUUAUUUGCCAGUAGGUGAGGUAACGGCUCACCUAGGCGACGAUACAGAGCCGACCUGAGAGGGUGAUCGGCCACACUGGGAAUGAGACACGGCCCAGACUCCUACGGGAGGCAGCAAGAGGGAAUCUUCGGCAAUGGACGAAAGUCUGACCGAGCAACGCCGCGUGAGGGAAGAAGGGUUUCGGAUCGUAAAGCUCUGUUGUAAGAGAAGAACGGGUGUGAGAGUGGAAAGUUCACACUGUGACGGUAUCUUACCAGAAAGGGACGGCUAACUACGUG
rnacentral:rRNA from 1 species